UGCGAGCUCACCCAGUUACCGGUAGUGGCUCAGGUCAGUUUCUAUUGGUAGCUGUAAUGGAUGUGACCACCUUAGUACACACCUUUGGGGAAUGCAUUUAUGCCCUGUGGGUACCCAAGACUGCUGUGGCGUCCACACACCAUGAUGUUCAGAUUGGGUAUCUGCCCACUGGGCCUGACUCAUUCAGAGCCUUGCCUUCUGGUGUGCUGAGUCACCACAGAAGAUAUUAGCUGUCAGGUGACUGUUAACUAGAGCUUUCCGGAGCUGGGAGCAAACUAUAUGCAAGAACUUGAAGAGAGGGAUUCUCUCGUUUAGUUCACAGGUUCAGAGGCCAGCCCAUGGUCCUGCAGUGAGGCAUAACAUUGUCUCCCAGAAGACAGGAAACAGAGAGAGAAGAGAUGACCUAGGAAGACAGACAGCCCUCAAGGACCCACCCCUGGUGACAUACUUCCUCUAACUAGACCCCACCUCCUAAAGUUUCUCGAACCUUCCAAAAUACCACCAUCAGCAAGAGAUCAAGCCUUCAACUCAUGAGUCUUUUGGGGGAUUUUCAUACCCUCACAGUAACAAGAGUGAUGGUGUGUGUCCCUGGCUUCUGCCACAGCAGCCAGACAUCAUAGUUGGCCCUCCUCAGCAGCAGUGUGGCCACGGCUGUGGGCUAUGGCCACGAUUUUCCAUUUCCACAGUGAGCUGCAUGUCCUGAUGUGGCUGUCAAAUGACACAGCCGUGGCUUCCACGCGUCUCUCACAUUGUCUUUGUCUCCCCAGAAGAGCUGUCAAUCAAGCGAGAAUCUGGUUUUCUACCUAAGCUGCAGUAUUUUUACAGCAGGAAAGUGUGACCAGAGGUAGGUGGGUUCAUCUGCGUCAACGUCCCCCAUUGCUCCUGGGUCACCCUGCUGAAGAAGCCACAGGAGCCUUGAUGUCCAAAGGAAGCAGCUGAGGAACUUCUAGGUUUGCACGCCCCUAGAGCAAUGGCUCCCACCCUUCCCAAUGCUGUGACCCUUUAACACACGUUGUGCUGGCCCCAACCAUGAAACCAUUUUCAUCGCUACCUCAUAGCUAUACUUUUGCUACUCUUAUAAAUCAUACUGUAAAU